GGCAGCACAGGUGAUUGGAAACAGUCAUUGGGUGGCGACCUUUAAACGGGUGAGUAAUGCGCAGGGAUAUACCUUAAAGACGUUUAUAACUUGGGGAAACUCAGGCUAAUACCGCAUAAGCUCCGAGGAGGAAAGCUUGGGACCGAAAGGCCAGGCGCUUUAAGAAUAGCCUGCGUCCGAUUAGCUAGUUGGGGGGGGGGGGGCGCACCAAGGCGACGAUCGGUAGCUGGUCUGAGAGGAUGAACAGCCACACUGGGACUGAGACACGGCCCAGACUCCUACGGGAGGCAGCAGUGGGGAAUAUUGGACAAUGGGGGAAACCCUGAUCCAGCGAUGCCGCGUGUGUGAAGAAGGCCUGAGGGUUGUAAAGCACUUUUAGUGGGGAGGAGGGUUUACAGGUUAAGAGCUAGUGAACUGGACGUUACCCAAAGAAAAAGCACCGGCUAACUCCGUGCCAGCAGCCGCGGUAAUACGGAGGGUGCGAGCGUUAAUCGGAAUGACUGGGCGUAAAGGGUGCGUAGGCGGUUAGUUAAGUUGUGGGUGAAAGUACUGGGCUCAACCUGGUGUAAAAUCAUGAUACUGGCUAACUAGAGUACAGGAGAGGGAUAGUGGAAUUUCCGGUGU
rnacentral:rRNA from 1 species